ensembl:lncRNA
AGAAGAACAGAAAGAUGAGACAGAAAAGUAUGAUUGCCUAACAUACAGUUUUGGAUCUUGUGGAAGUCUGGCUUUACAUGGCACAGAAGUGAUUUACAGUUCAUCCUACCGAGAAAAAGAACUUCUAGCCUUUGAUUCUGUCUACCUGAAAAGAGAAGACAACCAAACCUUCAGUGGUGUGUUCAAUUCCACAUAGGAAAUAAGAAGAAGAGAUAAGAUUCUUGGAUUCAUUUCUAGCAAAGGAGGAAAGAAAGACAAGCACAUAAUUGGGAGAUGUCAGAAGCCUAAAGCUUGUGAGAAUUAAUUUUGCAAAAGAAUCACGGAGCUUCAGCACAAGACUACUUCCCUACAACCUCCUCAUCCAGUAACUUUGAUCAAGCAUUUCUUCAGUGAGAUUUAAAGAACAGAUUACUUCAAGUGUAUUACAUGAAGCUGCAUAAGCCGAUUUAAGCCUGCAUCAUGCAUUUUGGAUAGUCUCCGAUGGAUCAAGACUUCAGGUUGUGUUAUAGAAUCAGCAAUAAUCUUAGACAUUUGACUAAGUCACCUAACAUGAAUGAGACCUUCGUGGAUCAUUUCGUUCUGUUUUACUCUGGAACAAAUAUAAGCAUGCUGAGAUCUAGAGACCUGGUGUUCCACUGUAAUUGGGUAUGCAUUUAAAUUAGAGAACUGUGAGCUGAAAGAUACUUAUUUUAGCAUCAUUUUCAGUUAGCCAGGGGAAAAUCUGCAAACCCUGUCUAACCAGCUGGGCCUGAAGAGCUUAGAGGUUGGAUGCACCACUGGCAGAUAUCACCAUUUUUUUUUUAAUGUUGGUAUUUUGUUUCUGCCACACCUCUAGCUGUAAAGCAUUGCAAAUAAAUCCUAUUAUUUUUUCUUCUUUUCUAAUGUAUUAUUUCCACACUUAUGAUUUCAGAAAGAUGCUAUUUCCAAAGUUUGGGUUUAAAGCUUAGCAUUUCUUGGAUGACACCUGUCUCAAUGUUUUAUCAUAUAUAUAGGUGAAUUUCCAUUUACAGCUUAGCUCUUGCAAUGCUACUUGUUUCAUCUUUGAAUUCAGUGUGUAUAUCUGCAUUGUUAAAAGAAGCUUCCCUUUCCCUCCUACCUUUUUAUUAUUAUUUUUGUUUAUUUUUCAUUUUUCUCUCUAAAAUGAAGCUUUUUUGGAAAGGAGAAAAAGAAGUUAAUCUCUUAACUCCAUCAUGUAACUAACGCUAGACAUGUUCAGAAUAUUUCAUGAAUCUUAGUAUAACUGGUGAAAUAGAUUUUUUUCUCUGAGGUUCUUUUCUUGAGUAUCAGGAACAGUAACAUUGUUACUAAGAUGCGGAUGAAGAACAGUUUAUGUUGCAUUAAUGUCAACGAGAAUUUCAAAAGUCUCUGUAGAACUAGCUAAUUGGGAAUGUUUACAGAAGCAAUUCUUAGAAAGAAAUUUUUCAUGUAAAACAGUUUCAUUAUUGUAAUAAAUGAACACAAAUAUGGGUUAUACUUUGCUCUUUAAAAGUAAUAAAAUUUUCUUU